GCCUCCAUCCCCAAGACUCUCCGCCUCUCAUCGAUCUAACCAUGUCGCCCCGCCACCUCCUACAGGACAAGUCGCCCGAGCCUGCGAACUGCCGCAGCCACAGAUGAUUCACUAUUAAUUUCGGAAGGAUCUCACAGAUUAUGAUGGUUUGUUUUCCAUCGGGAUCUCACAAGAGCUUAUGGUAAUUUCUUCGAUCGGCCAUUGAGAACUCCAGAUCCCUAAAACUUCUUGAAAUUUAUAGGCCCGCUUCACCUGUUCUUCAUUUUUCUCGGAUCAGGUUCGAUGCUUUCUAUGCAGCAUAGUGUCUUCUGAAUUCUUGUGUUCUUGGUCGGGCCCUUUAUUACGGCCAGUUUCACGGGCAGGUCGUCACCCACCGCUCAAGCCACUGAAAAGUUGGUCCUCUUCUACUGUUGUACGUAUAGUGUCUGACUUCUCUGUGCUGAUUGGAUUUAUUUAUUUGUUCCAAGUGCGAACAUCUAGUCUGUGCUUUACUCGAAUCUUAGAUGGAUCAGCCUCUCUGAAUGUUGAUAUAAGCUCUUGCUUCGGGGAAGAUAAGACACAUAUAUAGCUUAGUGCAGAAUUGCGGAAACACGGACGACCGUGCAAUGCCAAUACGUCUCAACAUGUGUUUUCUUAUAUUGACAAGUUAAAUGGAUGAUGCACGACUCGGAUGUUGAUAGUAAGGAUGAGGAUAUUGCUACUACUUGAUAGUGUUGCAGAAUGUUCUUUGUAAUAUAGCAGAGUUUUUUUUUGUCAACGUUUAUAGCAAAAAAUAUGUUCUUUGGGUCAUGUUCUUUGUAAUACAAC